rnacentral:rRNA from 1 species
GUGCCAGCAGCCGCGGUAAUACGUAGGGUGCGAGCGUUGUCCGGAAUUAUUGGGCGUAAAGGGCUCGUAGGCGGUUUGUCACGUCGGGAGUGAAAACUCGGGGCUUAACCCCGAGCCUGCUUCCGAUACGGGCAGACUAGAGGUAUGCAGGGGAGAACGGAAUUCCUGGUGUAGCGGUGAAAUGCGCAGAUAUCGGGAGGAACAUCAGUGGCGAAGGCGGUUCUCUGGGCAUGUCCUGACGCUGAGGAGCGAAAGUGUGGGGAGCGAACAGGAUUAGAUACCCUGGUAGUCC